rnacentral:ncRNA from 1 species
GAAAGAGGUUGCGAUUUUUAUUAGUAGUAAUUUAAGUCAUACAGAUUAUUGUUAAAUUAUGAAAGGAAAUGUCGCCGAAGUUAAGGGAGAAGUAUCUGUAUUCUUUCUUUUCUGGGGAAUUAUAGAAUAUAUAAUUCACUGUCGUAUUGGAAAAUACGGAGCGCUU